GAGGAAAGAACAGUAGACCAAGCUGUUAAAAAGAAUGAUAAUGGAGUAGUUUGAAGUUGCUUACAAAUGUUUUCAACACUGAGCAGGCUGAUAUUUGAGGAUAAUUCAACAACACCCAUCUUCUCACGUUGAUAAGAUAAACUUUUGAAUUUAAAAUCCUUCAAAUAUUUUUUCCAAAAGCUUAUGCAAUUUUUGUAGUUCAGUCGCCUAAGCGAUUCUAAUUCCUGAACAUAGUCUUCAAAUUGUGGGACGAUCGUAAGCCGUCUAUCGUGAAUCAGCAUGAAUAAUUGCUGCAUAAUAAUAUCGAUGGACCAACCAUCGUAUAAAGCGUGAUGCCAGACAAUGCUGAGAUAACAGUUACUGGAGUCAUAAAUUACAGCAGCAUCCAAUGGACCACUGUUUAGAAAUUGUUCAUCAAAUUCUUUGGUAGUAAAAUG